rnacentral:rRNA from 1 species
GAUGAACGCUGGCGGCGUGCCUAAUACAUGCAAGUCGAGCGAACGGACGAGAAGCUUGCUUCUCUGAUGUUAGCGGCGGACGGGUGAGUAACACGUGGAUAACCUACCUAUAAGACUGGGAUAACUUCGGGAAACCGGAGCUAAUACCGGAUAAUAUUUCGAACCGCAUGGUUCAAAAGUGAAAGACGGUCUUGCUGUCACUUAUAGAUGGAUCCGCGCUGCAUUAGCUAGUUGGUAAGGUAACGGCUUACCAAGGCAACGAUGCAUAGCCGACCUGAGAGGGUGAUCGGCCACACUGGAACUGAGACACGGUCCAGACUCCUACGGGAGGCAGCAGUAGGGAAUCUUCCGCAAUGGGCGAAAGCCUGACGGAGCAACGCCGCGUGAGUGAUGAAAGUCUUCGGAUCGUAAAACUCUGUUAUUAGGGAAGAACAUAUGUGUAAGUAACUGUGCACAUCUUGACGGUACCUAAUCAGAAAGCCACGGCUAACUACGUGCCAGCAGCCGCGGUAAUACGUAGGUGGCAAGCGUUAUCCGGAAUUAUUGGGCGUAAAGCGCGCGUAGGCGGUUUUUUAAGUCUGAUGUGAAAGCCCACGGCUCAACCGUGGAGGGUCAUUGGAAACUGGAAAACUUGAGUGCAGAAGAGGAAAGUGGAAUUCCAUGUGUAGCGGUGAAAUGCGCAGAGAUAUGGAGGAACACCAGUGGCGAAGGCGACUUUCUGGUCUGUAACUGACGCUGAUGUGCGAAAGCGUGGGGAUCAAACAGGAUUAGAUACCCUGGUAGUCCACGCCGUAAACGAUGAGUGCUAAGUGUUAGGGGGUUUCCGCCCCUUAGUGCUGCAGCUAACGCAUUAAGCACUCCGCCUGGGGAGUACGACCGCAAGGUUGAAACUCAAAGGAAUUGACGGGGACCCGCACAAGCGGUGGAGCAUGUGGUUUAAUUCGAAGCAACGCGAAGAACCUUACCAAAUCUUGACAUCCUUUGACAACUCUAGAGAUAGAGCCUUCCCCUUCGGGGGACAAAGUGACAGGUGGUGCAUGGUUGUCGUCAGCUCGUGUCGUGAGAUGUUGGGUUAAGUCCCGCAACGAGCGCAACCCUUAAGCUUAGUUGCCAUCAUUAAGUUGGGCACUCUAAGUUGACUGCCGGUGACAAACCGGAGGAAGGUGGGGAUGACGUCAAAUCAUCAUGCCCCUUAUGAUUUGGGCUACACACGUGCUACAAUGGACAAUACAAAGGGCAGCGAAACCGCGAGGUCAAGCAAAUCCCAUAAAGUUGUUCUCAGUUCGGAUCGUAGUCUGCAACUCGACUACAUGAAGCUGGAAUCGCUAGUAAUCGUAGAUCAGCAUGCUACGGUGAAUACGUUCCCGGGUCU